rnacentral:tRNA from 1 species
CGGGGCGUAGCUCAGUUUGGCUAGAGCGCAGCGUUCGGGACGCUGAGGCCGUAGGUUCAAGUCCUACCGCCCCGA